CAUGGUGUUUACACCAGUCUGCAGGUGCUGUGAUACACAAUUUUUUAUUUAGAAUUAUUUGUUUGCCAUGUGUGAAUGGCCAUAGGAAUGUUAUGAAAAAAACUUCUAAAUGCUGUUUUAAAUGAAUGUGACUCCAAGAUUCCUUCUGGAGAAGGCAGCUAUGAGAUAAUUAUAAGGAGUAAAGAAGCAAACAACUCUCAUCUUCUGUUAUCAGCCCAGCUGCAGCCUUCCUCUUAUCAGUUCUUGGAAAAGUUCACUUCAGCCAUGCUAUGUCCCACACAAAGCUUGCCUUUUUAUGCCGUUCAGACUAGUUCCACUGUCUUUCAGAAAGCCUUUUUCAUUAAAGAAGCACUUAUCAGAGCUGACACAUAGAGAACAGAGCAGUCCUGGAUAUGAUGGAGCUGUAGAAGGGAACUGCCCUCAUUACUUUGCAACUUCAUUUUUUCAUCCAUGUCAUGCUCUAGUGUGGAUCUAAGGACAUGGAUUUGCACAGCUCAAUUGAAACACCUGAUAAAGUGAAGGCUGAUGCUCCUGUAUAUGUUGGUAAAGAAGAAGACAUAAAACAGUCCCAAAGAAUAACAGCCAGUGUCCAUGACAGAGAAGUUGUCGUUUUCUACCAUGAAGGGAAAUUUUAUGCCAUGGACCGUCGCUGUUACCAUGCAGGAGGUCCUUUACAUCUUGGAGAGAUAGAGGAUAUCAAUGGACAGCCCUGCAUUAUUUGCCCUUGGCACAAGUAUAAAAUUACUUUGGCAACAGGAGAAGGCUUAUAUCAAGCAAUAAACCCUACAGAACCAUCAGCAACACCAAAAUGGCGAUCAAAAGGAAUAAAGCAAAGAACUCACAAGGUUACUGUAGACAAUGGAAGUGUUUAUGUGACUCCUUCGGACUUAUCUAUCAGCUGUGACUCUGAUUACUAUGCUGAUAAGUACAAAAAGACUGGAAGUUCUGAUAUGAAAAAAUAAUGGACAUCCUGAACUUCAAAAUCAAUGGCCAUUAUGCAAAAUACCAGUGUCUGUGUAAAAGGCAUUAUCGGUAUCACAGAAUAUGCAAAUUUUUUCUAGAUAUUAAUAUAAAGAAAUACCAGUGUUAAUCUUCUUAUUAAAGCAUUAAGUAAUGUAGAAAUGAGUAAGAUCAUAAACAAGUUCAAGACCCUCUUUAGAAUGAAUUAGCAUUGUGCCAGUGCAGUUUUAUAUUUGCCGUUAAUAAAAUACGAGUUUAAUGUAUGUACAUUAGCCUAGUUUGUAAUAUUUGAAGUGUUAAAUCUUCUAUUGCUAGGGUUAGUCUUUUAAGCUUUAGGAGGAGGAAUAUAAUAAUGCAUUUCAUUAGUUUAGAAAAACAUCUUUAAAUGUUAUAACUAUCCAUUGAAGGACAGAAUUUUUUUAAUAUGUUGAAAUUAUUAUAGUUCUAAACUACAUAAUGUAAUUGGGAGAUUUUUUUUAAUGUUAUUUGCAGGUCAGGAGAAAAAGCUGUUGUUUUAUCAUCUUAACGCAUAGGACCAGAGUUUCAUAAAAUGAGGAUGACUGCAGAAAACAUCUAAAAAAGAGAAUGUGUGUGGGGAGGAUUGAACCCAGUCUGGGAAGAUGUCUGGCCUGUGAAAAAUGCCUGGAGUUUCAAGCUGCAAGCAAGAGCAGUUUGCCUUCAAGAACCUCUGCAAUCUGCCCAAAACAAUAUUUAGAGUGAGAAACUACUACUUGUAACCAGGUUUUUGGUAUCGUAAGCUUAUAUUGCAUUUUUGUUUUAUUUGCUGGGUAAUCUGCUUUGAUCCCUUAAAUUUGCAAUCCUUUAGAUUUUAAAGUGAUUAUAUCCUUUGUAGUUAAACUUGUUUUUCUUUUCUCCAAAGCUACUUUGUGGAAUUCAUAACUGGAGGGGACAAAAGUGUGUGUCACUAAGAAAUUUAAAUGCUAUAGAACAUGGCACUAAAAAUAUUCAUAGUAAGGCCCUCAGCCACAACUGUUCUGAGGGACAUGGCUACUGAAAGAAAAAUCUAGCUAAGGAACACUGAAGACAUUAAGCUAUUUGUACUAAUUAUUUUAUUAACAAAUAGAGAAUGUAAAUUCUGUAUAUGUUAAGUGUCUUUGUUUAAACAUUCAGUGCACUAACAGAGCUCAUAAGUCUGUUUGAGCUUACAGUACUUAGUAGUGGAACUGAUCUUGAUCCAGUGCAGAAUGUAGGAUGUGAAUGGUGCUCUUAGUUGAAUCUUCAACAGGAAAUUCAGAAAAUACGUGCUUCUCUGGAGAGGGUACAGCGUAACUUGCUAAAUCUUCAUAUUUGGAGAAUACAUCUUUUUCUUCCUCAUUCUUAGCUUUUUCUCUUGAGGUCCUUUCUUCUUGAACAAUGUAUUUUAUUUUCCCUAGUACUGUGUUAAUAGAGACUGCCUACAUACAAUAAAGAUGGAGUUUAGUUGAAGAAAACCAUAA